rnacentral:siRNA from 1 species
UCCAACAGAUGCAAUCGUUAAUA